CAGAACUGAUGUGGGACGCAUCAGAAAGGAUGAUCAAGAGAUAAAUAUUGAAGUUUCUUUAUUAUUCUUAGAAAGAUUCACAAAUAUUUCUUAAGGAUGAUUUUGCAAGUAAAUCAAUAAUGCAACUUUGCUGUGAAUGCAUUGUUUCCUUUUCUUUUUCUUUUCUUUUAUUUUAGAAUGAAAAUGUAUUGGCAACAUAAAAUUUGGAACCAAAAAAUUAUGAUACCAUGAGAAAUCUUUACUGCCCAGUCCUUUUGGGCUUAAAAUUCACAUACUUUCUCUCAUAUAGAUUGGCAAUCACUUUAUUGGAUCUUUCCCUUAUGCCUUGGAUUCUUUUUAUUAGAGGUGAACUACAUUUGGUGUUGGUUGUAUUCGAACAAUAUUAGGUACAUUUUAAAUAAACACAUUUCUUUAGGACCUGGCAAGAUAAAAAGCUGGUUUUAAUACAAUUGGCUUUCAAGCAACUCAUUUUGCCAUAUAGUUCUGGUACUACUGGUAGGAACAUAAUGUGCUCCUAUGGGCACAAAAGAAACUAUCGUCUGACCACUAUUUUUAUUUUAUGUGGGUUUAUUUGUUUAAUUUUGAUCGAGUAUGGAUGUGCUUGAGAGAGAGAGAGAGAGAG
rnacentral:misc_RNA from 1 species